GAUGAACGCCGGCGGCGUGCCUAAUACAUGCAAGUCGAGCGAACAGACGAGGAGCUUGCUCCUCUGACGUUAGCGGCGGACGGGUGAGUAACACGUGGAUAACCUACCUAUAAGACUGGGAUAACUUCGGGAAACCGGAGCUAAUACCGGAUAAUAUAUUGAACCGCAUGGUUCAAUAGUGAAAGACGGUUUUGCUGUCACUUAUAGAUGGAUCCGCGCCGCAUUAGCUAGUUGGUAAGGUAACGGCUUACCAAGGCAACGAUGCGUAGCCGACCUGAGAGGGUGAUCGGCCUAACUGGAACUGAGACACGGUCCAGACUCCUACGGGAGGCAGCAGUAGGGAAUCUUCCGCAAUGGGCGAAAGCCUGACGGAGCAACGCCGCGUGAGUGAUGAAGGUCUUCGGAUCGUAAAACUCUGUUAUUAGGGAAGAACAAAUGUGUAAGUAACUAUGCACGUCUUGACGGUACCUAAUCAGAAAGCCACGGCUAACUACGUG
rnacentral:rRNA from 1 species